UCAUAUUGUACCAAUUACCAAUGCAAUAUUAUGAUCUUGGAAAGGUAUCAGUCACCUUAGAUUCUUAAUGAUUGGAAUCUGUACAACUUAAAAAAGGUGGAAACAAAACCAACCCCAGAGGGGUGAAACAGAGGAUAAGUUCUUCCCUGUGAGCUUCACAGCUGAGAUAGUUUCAAGGAUGAAAGAAGGCAGUCUGGCUGUCCUCCUUUCACACAAUUUAUUGCUCUUUCCAAAGAAUAGAUAAGGGUUCCAGCAGGCAGCAUAAAGCUGUGAACUAAUCAUCAGAAAGGAAACAAAGCACAAAUUUGUACCUCUCAACGCUCACCUAGAGGUUUUCUGGGCCUUAUAAAAUAUAGGUCUUUCUUUCAAUUUCAACAUUAAACCCUGUAUCAAGUAUUCCUUAAUAAUACUUCUACAUUGCCAUUUCUAAAUACAAAUAAAUGACAUCACACAUGCCUCAAUCAAAUUUAACCCCUAACAUGCCACUCCUGCAUUUGCUGACUGAAUCAGUGUGUAUGGGGAUUAGUUACCAUCUACAAUUAGUCUCUCAUCCAAGACUUUUUCUUUGUCCCUUAUACUGGGAAAUUGCAUAUAGGAGAUUGCAUAUAGGAGAUGAACAGGGAGUUUCGCAAGGGAGUUCUCCAGGUGAAGGAGGAGCAAAUACAGGACCUUUGGGGUAAGUGACUGUCAGUAGUGUGUGUUUGUUUGUGUUUGAGGGUUACUUGCUGAGUGCUGAGCUUGUGUUUGUCAGUCUGUUUGUUUGGUUGGUUGUUUGAAGGACCGUGUGCUGUGGCUGGCAGUUGGAAGCUGUGAGCUUCAAAGGAAAGUCUGAAGGCUAGAAGCCUCUGGUAAUUGGCUGAGCCUUAAUCAGUGGGCGGGGCAUUCACCUAGGCCAGGGCUUUAUAAAGCAGCGCACAAGUGACCAGGGAGCUUUUGCGAACAGGGAGUUUCGCAAAGGAGUUCUCCAGGUGAAGGAGGAGCAAAUACAGGACCCUUGGGCACAAGACCGAAGUCCCAUAGCUAACUCUGAGGUAUAUAGGAACCAUCAGGAUUGGAAUGGGCCUUUAACAUAAGCCUAUCAGAGUGCAGGAGAAUUUCAUCAGUUUGUUACGUUUGAAGAUCAAGUAAAAUUAUAGUGACAUCUAGUGACCAUUAAGAUUACCAGCAGUAACAGAACAAUAUAUUGCUGCUAGAGAACAUUUUAAUCACACAGUAUUCAGAAUUCGAUUAUUAAAAUCGGUAGAGAAUGAAUUAAAAUGCUGAUGGAUGUAAUAACGUGAC